AAUGUGACUUGGUUUUGCGUUGUGCUAGUCCUAUGUGGUGUCUAGUACUCUUUAGAGUUAGGGUCUGAUUUUAAUUAUGAUUUUAAUAUUUUAUUUAGACCCGUCGACUGUUCGUACUUCAGAGGCGAACCAGAGUUAGGUGCUUGUCAGGAUCACGUGGAUUUAGCAAGCAGUUUGUGAUUUGAGCAUUUGGUCGAUCUCCGUUUCUUCAUUCUCGGAGGUUCUUUAUUUAUUUCAGAAAUAAAGUGUCGAACUAUUUUAAACUCUUAGACCGCAGUAGUAGUUUCAUAUUAUUCA